CCAGACUCCUACGGGAGGCAGCAGUGGGGAAUAUUGCACAAUGGGGGGAACCCUGAUGCAGCGACGCCGCGUGGGUGAAGGAGCACCUCGGUGCGUAAAGCCCUAUCGGCAGGGAAGAAAAGCGAACAGGUUCGCCUGGACGGUACCUGACUAAGAAGCCCCGGCUAACUACGUGCCAGCAGCCGCGGUAAUACGGAGGAUGCGAGCGUUAUCCGGAUUUAUUGGGUUUAAAGGGUGCGUAGGCGGGAUGCCAAGUCAGCGGUAAAAAUGCGGUGCUCAACGCCGUCGAGCCGUUGAAACUGGCGUUCUUGAGUGGGCGAGAAGUAUGCGGAAUGCGUGGUGUAGCGGUGAAAUGCAUAGAUAUCACGCGGAACUCCGAUUGCGAAGGCAGCAUACCGGCGCCCUACUGACGCUGAGGCACGAAAGCGUGGGUAUCGAACAGGAUUAGAUACCCUUGUA
rnacentral:rRNA from 1 species